rnacentral:rRNA from 2 species
AUCCUGGCUCAGGACGAACGCUGGCGGCGUGCCUAAUACAUGCAAGUCGAGCGGAUCUUCAUUAGCUUGCUAUUGAAGAUCAGCGGCGGACGGGUGAGUAACACGUGGGCAACCUGCCUGUAAGACUGGGAUAACUUCGGGAAACCGGAGCUAAUACCGGAUAAUCCUUUCCCUCACAUGAGGGAAAGCUGAAAGACGGUUUCGGCUGUCACUUACAGAUGGGCCCGCGGCGCAUUAGCUAGUUGGUGAGGUAACGGCUCACCAAGGCAACGAUGCGUAGCCGACCUGAGAGGGUGAUCGGCCACACUGGGACUGAGACACGGCCCAGACUCCUACGGGAGGCAGCAGUAGGGAAUCUUCCGCAAUGGACGAAAGUCUGACGGAGCAACGCCGCGUGAGCGAUGAAGGCCUUCGGGUCGUAAAGCUCUGUUGUCAGGGAAGAACAAGUAACCGGAGUAACUGCCGGUACCUUGACG